GCCAGGCAUGGUGGUGGUUCAUGCCUGUAAUUCCAGCUACUUAAGGCUGAGGCAGGAGGACUGCAAGUUGGAGGCGAGCCUCAGCAACUUAGUGAGAUCCUGCCUCAA
rnacentral:sRNA from 1 species